GGGUCAUUAGCUCAACUGGAAGAGCAGGCGACUCUUAAUCGUCAGGUUGGGGGUUCGAUUCCCUCAUGGCCCA
rnacentral:tRNA from 1 species